UUAAAAGCAGGUCUUUACAUUUGCUUUAGUCUAAAACUUUCACCUGUUGAUAGAAUUUUGCUUUUGUCAUCCUGAGUGUUUAGCAUGUGCUAGCCCUGCUAACUCUUUGGCCAUUUUCAGAUGUAUGUCUUCACCCAAAACAUUGACUAGGACAGUGAAAAUGUCCAAAUCCCAUAGCAUACCACUGAAGACCUGAAAAAACACCAGAUUUUCCACCUCCUUGGGGAAGACCAGCGCAGAGGGUAGAAAUUUCAGGGAGAGAGGUAUCCUGAGCAGGAAAUAGCAGCUUGUGUUUUGACUCACUCACCAUAGUUGUCUCAGCAAUGGAACCGAAGCUGUUGAUGAAAAUGUUGCAGCUCACGUUCACCGGGGGACCUGCCAAUCAAGAGAGAUUCCUGCUUAGUUCCAAGGCCAAGAAGAAAUCCCCAGGAUAGGACCAGUUUGUGGGAUUUUGACUUCAGGGAUGGAUCCCCCUUGGUGGAGGAGACCCUUGCUUGCCCUGCACCCCACCCCCGAGCAGCGGGGACUCCCAGCCACAUUGCUAUGCCAGAUUCCCUGGUCCCCAAGUGAGCACCAGGUAUAGAACACCAGAGGCUGAGCCGGGAUGUACUUUCAUUAACAGGAUAAUUCAUCAUCCUGUCAUAUGGUUGAAAUCCCUUCCCCAAACCCCAUCGGCUGCCUUCUAAUUUGUGGCUGCAAGGUUACAGCUACAACAUUUGGAGACCAUCUUGGGAAUCGCAAGGAACAGCAAGUUCCUUGCCUUGAACUUAUGAACCAAGAAUGAUUGUCUGAAAGGGCAUUGAUGGGAAUUAUCAGCUGAGGUAUGCAGAGGGAACCUCAAAGCAAGUCCGUAAGUCUUUGUUAAAUACUUUCCAGGCAAGCUUUUUGAAUACUACUGCAAGGGCAGGAAGGAAGUGGAGGAAUAUUUGCUCUUUGGAAUCUCAUUGCUAGAGGGACCUCUGUCCAAUUGAAGCCCAGUCUCUUCAUUUUAUACUAUUAAUUACAGCAGCUACCAUUUACUGAGCAAGUUUUGCUAUUACGCUGAGAGUAUUACUAACAUUGUCUCUUUCUAUCCUCUCAACAACUCCAUGAGAAGAUAUGAUUAUUCCCUCCAUUUUACAGAUGAGGAAACAGAGGCACAGAGAGGUUAUUUGCCCACGGCUACACAGCUAGUAAAUGGCCAAGCUUGAGCUCAGAUUGAUCUAAUUCCAAAGCUAGUGGUCUUAAUGGCUAUACUUUUUGAAAGAGGUUCAGAGAAAGGAAGGGGCAUGCUCAAGGUCACAGAGUGGCAGAAUCCAGGAUUUUAAGCACUGGGCUUCCACAUGUGCUGAUAAGAGGGCAGGCAUAAAAUAACCAGGGAGGAAUGUGAGACCAUGGGUAAGCGUCAUAGAAGCAGUAGGAGUCCAGGUGUGAGAGAGGUUCUGAAGAGGGAGGCAUUAGGGAAGACCUCAUGAAGGUGAUGACCAUGAGCUGACCUUGAAGGUGGGUAGGACUUGGAUAAUAGGUCAUAAUCCUCCCCUUGAAGAUUGUGACAUGCCAUUUGUGAAUUUUUUCAGGUCCACUUUCUUGUUGAUUCCCAUGAGGUCCUGAGGUUGGCAGGGCAAAUUUACUGUCCCAGCUUCGUAAGUGGAGCACAGAGAGUUUUAGUAACUCACCUGGGCUUAUUUACCCAGCAAGUGGUGGAGCCAGGACUCAAACCCAAGUUUUCUGAUACCCACUCCUCUCUGUCCCUCUUGAAAAAGUAGCCCAAGCAUUUCACCCAAACUCAGCCAAGACUUCCUUCUUUUCAGAAAUCCUGGUGUAUAGAAAGGGACUCAAUCCUGCUGUGAGAAUCCAGGUUUUCCUUCCAAGGGAUUCCCAGGAUUCCUGGGUUUUAGACAUAGCCCCAAGCUCUCCCUGGCUGUUUGCCCUGAGACACGCCCCUUCCCUUUUCUGGGUUGCAAUUUCCCCAUCAAUUUGGUAGAGUAGAUCUUGAUCUGGGCAGUCAUUCUCAGUUCCAUGGGGUUGCAAUUCCCUUAUGGAAGCUACCCAUUUGAAUUAUGAUGUUACUGUAUAGAAUUUCAGGGUUGGAAGGUCUCUCUCUUUUUCUUUUUUUUUUUUAACAUCUUUAUUGGAGUAUAAUUGCUUUACAAUGGUGUGUUAGUUUCUGCUUUAUAACAAAGUGAAUCAGUUAUACAUAUACAUAUGUCCCCAUAUCUCUUCCCUCUUGCGUCUCCCUCCCUCCCACCCUCCCUAUCCCACCCCUCUAGGUGGUCACUCAGUGCUUUAGAAAGUCUCUUAAAAGUCACCUAAUCUAUUGCUUCCCAAACUGAGGUGCAGACGGGAUUGUCUGCAGUAGCGUCAUCUGGGAAACUUGUUAAACUACAGAUUCCUGGGCCCAGCCCCAGCCCCAGUGAACCCAGACCUGUGAGGAUUAGCCCAGAGUUUAUUGUUUAACGAGCGACCUGGGUGAUCCUCAUGCAGAGCCAGGUUUAGGAACUGCUGCUACCCAUUCAAGGCUUAGCGCUUGAUCACCUCCAGCAAUGGGGAACUCAUUUCGUCGCAAGCAGUGCUUUCCAUAGUUGGAUGGCUCUGCUUGCUAAAAACUUUGUCCUUAUGCUGAGCGGGAAUGUGCCUCCUUGGUCACUUUCACCCAAACAAAGGCCCACUAGGGUUUUCUUCCUCUCAUUUAGACUCAGAUCUAGGUUUUUCUUUUCAUUAAUCUUCCUGCCAUUAAGAUGCCCCAAAGAGUUACUGCCUGUGCCUUGAAAUGACGUGCACAGAGUUCCCACCCAGGCCCUGCAAGUGUCUGGUGCUGUGACUCCCAUAUAAAUUAGAUGCUGAUUUAUGUGUGCGAGAGGACGCCAGCCAAAAAUGAUCCCAUGGGGAGGUGUGGUUCAUUGAAAUAAAUCUGAAAUUAAAUUAUCCUCAAAAAAAUUACAAUCUGGCUGCCUUUGGCAGCAGCAUAAUAUAUAUAUAUAUAUUUCAUUAAAUAUUAAAGUUUAAUUUUGCUUUUGUGUGUAUGUUUGCAUUGGGCUGUGCCCCUGAUCCUGGGAGCCAUUGUGAUAUGCCAAGUCUUAGUGAAGAUACCGAAUACCGAAGCUGACAGGGCCUGGUCCUACUGGACCAUUGUACAGAUGCAGAGACAGAGGCCCAGAUGUGUCAAGUGAUUUACUCUGCGUCACAGAUAUCAGAAAGCUUCAUUUUAGUUUUUCUUGUCCGGUGGCAAAAAACAACAUGACAUAUUUUAUCACAGUUUAUCCUUUCAACAACCUGAGAGGUAGGGAUGUCUGUCUCAAUUUUACAGCUCUAUGACAGGGAAUGAAUAUAUGAACUUCCAGAGGCUUCUUUGCAUUUUAUGCUUGAAUCUACAAGGACCACCCACACUCACAUCUCGAGGAGUACCGCAGCACUUUCUGUCUAGGUUAUACCUGAUGAUUCUGAAGAACUUCAGAAAAACCUGAAGACUAAAAGAAGCAGGUUAACUCAGCGUGGUGACAUUGCUUAUCCCAUGAUGUUCAGUAUUUCUGGCAGUUAUGUAUGCCUUUGGUUGAUAAAGAUGGGGAAAACAAGUUAAUGGUGAACGGGGUUUGGUAAACAA